rnacentral:rRNA from 1 species
CUCCAUGCCGUAAACGGUGGGCGCUAGGUGUAGGGGGCUUCCACGUCUUCUGUGCCGUAGCUAACGCAUUAAGCGCCCCGCCUGGGGAGUACGGCCGCAAGGCUAAAACUCAAAGGAAUUGACGGGGGCCCGCACAAGCGGCGGAGCAUGUGGAUUAAUUCGAUGCAACGCGAAGAACCUUACCUGGGCUUGACAUACACCAGAUUGCUGCAGAGAUGUAGUGUCCCUUGUGGUUGGUGUACAGGUGGUGCAUGGUUGUCGUCAGCUCGUGUCGUGAGAUGUUGGGUUAAGUCCCGCAACGAGCGCAACCCUUGUCUUAUGUUGCCAGCAUUUGGUUGGGGACUCAUGAGAGACUGCCGGGGUUAACUCGGAGGAAGGUGGGGAUGACGUCAAAUCAUCAUGCCCCUUAUGUCCAGGGCUUCACACAUGCUACAAUGGUCGGUACAACGCGCAGCGACACUGUGAGGUGGAGCGAAUCGCUGAAAGCCGGUCUUAGUUCGGAUUGGGGUAUGCAACUCGACCCCAUGAAGUCGGAGUCGCUAGUAAUCGCAG